rnacentral:rRNA from 1 species
UACGGGGGGAGCAAGCGUUGUUCGGAUUUACUGGGCGUAAAGGGCGCGUAGGCGGCGCAACAAGUCACUUGUGAAAUCUCCGGGCUUAACCCGGAGCGGCCAAGUGAUACUGUCGUGCUAGAGUGCGGAAGGGGCUACUGGAAUUCUCGGUGUAGCGGUGAAAUGCGCAGAUAUCAGGAGGAACACCAAUGGCGAAGGCAGCACUCUGGGACGUGACUGACGCUGAGACGCGAAAGCGUGGGGAGCAAACAGG